rnacentral:rRNA from 1 species
UACAGAGGGUGCAAGCGUUGUCCGGAAUCACUGGGCGUAAAGGGCGCGUAGGCGGCCCGAUAAGUAGGGGGUGAAAUCUUGCGGCUCAACCGCAAGGCUGCCUUCUAGACUGUCGGGCUUGAGCACAGUAGAGGCAGGUGGAAUUCCCGGUGUAGCGGUGGAAUGCGUAGAGAUCCGGAAGAACACCGGUGGCGAAGGCGGCCUGCUGGGCAGUUGCUGACGCUGAGGCGCGACAGCGUGGGGGAGCAAACAGG